GGCAGAUGGAAGGUUCCUUUUCUGUUGUUGAGAAUAAAUUCUAUUUCUUUAGAACAGCAUAAAACCUUGAGUACAAAAGAGUCUUAAUUAGAUGCAGUAGUAAAGUUAGAACUCCACUUCCACAUCUUCCUUUUUUUCUAAAUCUUUAAUCUUUUGCAACUUUAACUUUACAAGAAGAUCAUUAGGAUCCUAGCUAGACCAAUCCCACCCCUAUCAAGAUCUCAAUCCGUAAUUUCAAAGAAGAAGAAGAAUUAAAACUAAAACUAAAACAAAUUAAUUUGCCCAAUUGCAUAAUUAUUACAUAUUUAUGUAUAUAUGUAAUUAUCUUACCAAAUGAAUGUGCAAGUUAAUUAAUUCAGUGGGUGUCAUCGUCUUCUCUUCUAGCUUUCUUCAUCUUCUGAUACAAAUCUGCAAGAAUAGGCCUAGGAAAUAGAGACUCCACUUCUCGAGAUAGAUCAAGUUGUAGACUUCUUCGUACAUUUGAUGGUGAUGCUUUUCUUUUAGCAGGUAGUACAGGCCUGGGUUUUCUUGGUGCAGGCGGGCAUUGUUUGGUCACUGAGAUUUUGUGAUCCAAACUUGUUGGAGUUUUGAAUCCAUUAUUAUCGUCAUCAUCAUCAUCCGUUGCCUUCACUUCUCCUAAAGAUAUCAGCCUUGAAAAAUCUCCAGUCUUGCGUUCUUCUCCAUCUUCUUCUCUCUCAUUAUUUCCAUCUUUGUCAUCUUCUCCUUCUUGUUGAUUGCGCCAUUGAAGAGGAAUAAUCCCAUUUUCAUUAGAACUUUCUGAUAAGACAGUAAAUUCUAAAGUGGAUCUCUGCAAGAGCUUGAAUUCGAUAUCUUCUUUAUUUUCUUUGACUAGAUGCAACUCUGAAUUCGACGACAUAGCUGUUAGGAAGGAAAAUUUAUCAAAAUCUGAGCACAUGAAUCAAUGGUAACUAUCUGAACUUAAAGAAGAGGAACAAAGAAAAAAAAAUACACAGAGAUCGAUUGUGAUGAGGAAGCUAAUCAGAGGAAGGAAGGACAAGAUGGGUUCUUGUUACAAAGAUCCUACAUGGGCUAGAAUUAUUUUUUCAGAGAUUCUUGAUGAGAUUUGCAGUUUUUUUUCUGCACUCACGGUG
rnacentral:misc_RNA from 1 species